AUUCCAGCUCCAAUAGCGUAUAUUAAAGUUGUUGCAGUUAAAAAGCUCGUAGUUGGAUUUGGGACUGGAGUCGUCGGGUCGGCCGCGAGGUCUGUUACUUGGCGGCUCUGUCAUUACAAUUCCCAGAGACCUGUCGUGUGCUUCACUGUACGCGGCAAGGGAUUUGGGACGUUUACUUUGAAAAAAUUAGAGUGUUCAAAGCAGGCUUUUACAGCCCGAAUACAUGAGCAUGGAAUAAUGGAAUAGGACCGCGGUUCUAUUUUGUUGGUUUCUACGACCGCAGUAAUGAUUAAGAGGGACAGUCAGGGGCACUCGUAUUCCGCCGAGAGAGGUGAAAUUCUCAGACCAGCGGAGGACGAACCACUGCGAAAGCAUUUGCCAGGGAUGUUUUCAUCA
rnacentral:rRNA from 1 species